GUGGCGCCAAGGAAUAAGUUGCAAGAAAUCACUAGAAUAACCUCAGAGCCACAAAACAAGGUCACACACAGCCAUGAAGAACAACUCGACAAAGGACAAGGAGAGCCUGAGACAAUAUGUGCAUAGAAAGGUGAUUUUGGCAGAAUGAAGACACCUGGGAGAGAAAGCUGAAGCAAAUCAGAUAAACCUAACACCAGGCACGCAAGACAAGGCACUACCAAAAUAAAAUAGGAAGUGACAUAGGCAUGACAACCAAACAUAGACGGAGACUUGAUAACCUGACCUCAGGAACACAGUGGAACACAAUAGAAACUGAACUAAAAACACAAAGGUUGAAAAGACAAAGCUGAAAAAUUAAGUAAUAAAAAACCACCCUGAGGAUUAUUAGUAAUAAUCAGAACCUGAGGGACCGAAAAACACCAAACAUGGGUCGGCGUCUCAGGACUGUAGCUGAAAAUAAGAUGUGGGACAUCUUCAGUGGAGCCAGUAUCACAUUUACAUCCCUCAUGCUGUAAAGACAUUAUAGAUCAGAAAGACUGAUCAGGAAGUGACAUUUAAUGACUCUAAGCAUAUUAUGUGCAUCUUUGGAGAGUGUUUUUACUGACAGAGAGUAUUAUGUAUGGUGCACAAACAAAGAUUGCACAGUUGUGACGCUGCACAGGAGAGUCAAGCUGAGUGCAGCAUCAUGUAGGAACAGAGAGAGCUGCAGAUUUCUCCCAACCAGCUGACGUGGUCAGGGCAGGUUUAGGUGGUGGUUUUUUUUUUCUCUCCCUUUUGUUGAGCUACAGGUGGAGUGCUGCAGCUGGAGUCAUCUCUCUUGGGUUGUCCUUCUCACACCUGCUACUCGUAAACUCAUCUACCUGUAAGAUGAUUUAACAAGGGCUGGAUGGUGCAGCAGAUCCUUGCUAGAUCAUUAGCUACCAUGGUGAUCAUUAGGUGUUCUCCCUGUGUGAAUGUUCCCUGUCCACUAGUUCAGAGUUCUCUUGUCGAAGAAGCCUGGUUGCCGCUGUAUGGCCUCCUCUGGCAUGACUUAUGCUCACCACCAGCCAUCACGUGGAAAACCUGCCUGUUCUCCUCGGAUUUCUCCAAAGCUUUUGUUCUGGAAUCUCUCUGGCACUCUCUCCACAGCUAUCCGCGCCCCCGAGGAGAAAACGCGCACCUCGGCACCCCGCCCCGCCGCGCGCCUUCUGUGUGCGUGAGUGUGAGUGAGGGACCGCGGGGAAGGGGGGGUGCCAGCUUGUUUGUGCAGUUUGAGUGUGCGAGAGGAAGGCAGAGAGCCGACAGUAGGGACGGAGCGCAGAAGCGAGCGCAGUUUUCUCUCACAGGCUUUCGCACAAACAUCACAUAGUAUGCGUAAAGAUUCGAGUGCGGACCGGCACUAGACCAGAAG
rnacentral:lncRNA from 1 species